CAGCCUGCUUUGGUCUUAACUACCUUGAGCGUAUAUUAUUGUAAUACACUGAAUUUAGGGCUACACCUAAAAUAAUAUGGAAGUCUCAAAAUAGUACCUUUUCCAGUAGAAUCCAGAUUA